GACGUAGGGUCCAAGCGUUGUCCGGAUUUACUGGGCGUAAAGAGCGCGUAGGCGGUCUGUUAAGUGUGAAGUGAAAUCUCCAGGGCUCAACCCGGAAACUGCUUCGCAUACUGGCAGACUUGAGGGAUGCAGAGGUUUGUGGAAUUCCUGGUGUAGCGGUGAAAUGCGUUGAUAUCAGGAGGAACACCCAUGGCGAAGGCAGCAAACUGGGCAUCGUCUGACGCUGAGGCGCGAAAGCGUGGGUAGCAAACAGG
rnacentral:rRNA from 1 species